rnacentral:tmRNA from 3 species
GGGGAUGACUGGCUUCGACGUCGGUGCUGAAACUCGCGGUGCAUGCCGAGCUGCAAAUCUGCUCGUUAAACGGUUUGCAAACAAGCUAGUUGCGAACGACGACAACUACGCCCUCGCCGCUUAAUCCGGUGAGCAUCUGACCAGCUGGUGUUGGUACCGCUGAAUCAGGUGUCGACUCAUACCAACUCGUGCAAUGGUUCGCCCUUAACCAACGCACUAAAACCCUAAGGGGAUAAGCAACAGCGAUCCGUGCCCAUCCGGGAGCUGAAGACGAAAAUUAAAGACCGGGCUACGCAUGUAGAUCUGUAGGCGGAAGGCUGGCGGACGGGGGUUCAAUUCCCCCCAUCUCCACCA